GCCACUGUAGCUCAGCUGGCAGAGCAGCUGACUUGUAAUCAGCAGGCCGGGGGAUCGAAACCCUCCAGUGGCU
rnacentral:tRNA from 1 species